CCUACGGGAGGCAGCAGUGAGGAAUAUUGGUCAAUGGACGCAAGUCUGAACCAGCCAUGCCGCGUGCAGGAAGACGGCUCUAUGAGUUGUAAACUGCUUUUGUACGAGGGUAAACGCAGAUACGCGUAUCUGUCUGAAAGUAGCGUACGAAUAAGGAUCGGCUAACUCCGUGCCAGAAGCCGCGGUAAUACGGAGGAUUCAAGCGUUGUCCGGAUUUAUUGGGUUUAAAGGGUGCGUAGGCGGUCUGGUAAGUUAGAGGUGAAAUCCCGAGGCUCAACUUCGGAAUUGCCUCUGAUACUGUGCGGCUAGAGAGUAGUAGCGGUAGGCGGAAUGUAUGGUGUAGCGGUGAAAUGCUUAGAGAUCAGACAGAACACCGAUUGCGAAGGCAGCUUACCAAGCUACUUCUGACGUUGAGGCACGAAAGCGUGGGGAGCAAACAGGAUUAGAUACCCGUGUAGUC
rnacentral:rRNA from 1 species